AAGUCGUAACAAGGUAUCCGUAGGUGAACCUGCGGAUGGAUCAUUAUCACGUUAUCCACGUAUAAACCAAUCGUUGAACAGUUAUUGUUACCUUUGUUAGUAUGGAUUUUGGGGAAACCUAAAAUCUUGAACACAAAGUGUAUUACUAUUCUAUACUAUAUUAACCAAUCGAACCAUUUCUAUAAUGUUUUUCUUUGUGUGAACUGAAUUGUUUCUUACUCGUCAUUCACUUGGUGAGAAGAAAACUAUUUACGAAACAUAUCGAACAACUCUUAGCAACGGAUAUCUUGGUUCUC
rnacentral:misc_RNA from 1 species